rnacentral:piRNA from 1 species
UGACAAAUACAUCCGGCCUGAAAUGC